rnacentral:rRNA from 1 species
AUAUUGCACAAUGGGCGCAAGCCUGAUGCAGCAACGCCGCGUGAGUGAAGAAGGCUCUUGGGUCGUAAAGCUCUUUCGAUAGGGAAGAAGGGCUCUAUAGUAAAUAAUUAUAGGGUCUGACGGUACCUGAAUAAGAAGCACCGGCUAAUUUCGUGCCAGCAGCCGCGGUAAUACGAAAGGUGCAAGCGUUGUUCGGAAUCACUGGGCGUAAAGCGCACGUAGGCGGGUUCGUGUGUCGAUUGUGAAAGCCCCAGGCUCAACCUGGGAAUGGCAGUCGAAACUGCGGAUCUUGAAUACCUGAGAGGGUGGGGGAAUUCCUGGUGGAGAAGUGAAAUUCGUAGAUAUCAGGAGGAACAUCAGAGGCGAAGGCGCCUACCUGGCAGGCUAUUGACGCUGAGGUGCGAAAGUGCGGGGAGCAAACAGG